UACGGAGGGUGCAAGCGUUAUCCGGAUUCACUGGGGUUAAAGGGGGCGUAGGAGGGCAGGUAAGUCAGUGGUGAAAUCUCCGGGCUUAACCCGGAAACUGCCGUUGAUACUAUUUGUCUUGAAUAUUGUGGAGGUAAGCGGAAUAUGUCAUGUAGCGGUGAAAUGCUUAGAUAUGACAUAGAACACCAAUUGCGAAGGCAGCUUACUACACAACGAUUGACGCUGAGGCACGAAAGCGUGGGGAUCAAACAGG
rnacentral:rRNA from 1 species